ensembl:snRNA U6 U6 spliceosomal RNA
UUGUUUCCUCUAAACCACUUGUUGAAAAAUUGGAAUGAUACAGAGAAGAUUAGCAUGGUCCCUGCACAAGGAUGAUAUGCAAAUUUGUGAAACAUUCCAUAAAAAA